GCUGAGUUGGCUGGCAGACGUAUCAAUUCAGUACAAUUAGUUCAUCUGCUCCAACUUCGACCCCAUGGGCUGGUUUCAGUGACGGACGGUGGGGCAGUUACGGUCUUUUGUCCCACACGGAUUCGUACUUUUUUUUUAGGCAAUAACUCCGCACGGACUGCAAGGAACGGUCCCACGAAUACAGCAGCCACUAGGGAAUGGGGCCUCAAAUGUAUUUCGCCGUGUUUAGAACUGACCCCUGUGGGUAAAUUUCAGUCGACCCCCCAAAAAUAACUGUAAAUUCUUGAUCUUGCCGAGGACCUGCGUGUUGGAAUGUGGUUUAUUACAGAAAUAAUGCUACGAUGAAUAUUCAAGGCUGGUUGAAAAAAGAAAAAAAAAAACUGUUGCUAUCCCGAGAUUCUUCAGAACUUCAAUAUUC